rnacentral:rRNA from 1 species
GAUGAACGCUGGCGGCGUGCCUAAUACAUGCAAGUCGAGCGAACGGACGAGAAGCUUGCUUCUCUGAUGUUAGCGGCGGACGGGUGAGUAACACGUGGAUAACCUACCUAUAAGACUGGGAUAACUUCGGGAAACCGGAGCUAAUACCGGAUAAUAUUUUGAACCGCAUGGUUCAAAAGUGAAAGACGGUCUUGCUGUCACUUAUAGAUGGAUCCGCGCUGCAUUAGCUAGUUGGUAAGGUAACGGCUUACCAAGGCAACGAUGCGUAGCCGACCUGAGAGGAUGAUCGGCCACACUGGAACUGAGACACGGUCCAGACUCCUACGGGAGGCAGCAGUAGGGAAUCUUCCGCAAUGGGCGAAAGCCUGACGGAGCAACGCCGCGUGAGUGAAGAAGGUCUUCGGAUCGUAAAGCUCUGUUAUUAGGGAAGAACAUAUGUGUAAGUAACUGUGCACAUCUUGACGGUACCUAAUCAGAAAGCCACGGCUAACUACGUG